rnacentral:lncRNA from 1 species
CUCCAAUAACUGCAGUUAACAACGAUCUAAGUUUUAGCAUCGAAAUAUUAUGGCAAAAGCUGAAGUUCAAAGCAUUAAAAAUGGAGUUUAUAGAUAAUCAGCAGCUUAUGUAAGUUGUUUUUGGCCCAUUAGACGUGUAUUCUGAAAAGGGAAAAAAAAAAGCUGAAAGCUGCAGCAAAAACUGAUAUGUAGUACAUUAGAGUUAUAUGAGAGAGAUUAUGCCUUACUUGCAUGUAAAAGGCGGUGAAUUAGGAUCAAAAGCAUAUGGUGGUGAGGGUGAGGGUUGGUCUUAUGGGACUGGUGAGUUCCGCCGACUGGUGUUGUUGGGGUUAGGUUACAGUGACUGGUGGAG